rfam:Agrilus planipennis Contig74100, whole genome shotgun sequence.
AAUUAGAAAAGUAAGUAUAUGUUCGAAUAAACGUGCGGCUGAAGAGGGCCUUAAUUAGUCCUAAAACGGCCUGAGGUAGAGGGGUUUUUGUCGGUAGGUGUGAGGACUUCUUCCUCGGGAAUCCGACACUACCCAAUCGUAGGGACGGCUGGGUGUCUUUUGAAGAUUUCCCUUUCACGAAA